GAUGAACGCUGGCGGCGUGCCUAAUACAUGCAAGUCGAGCGAACAGACGAGGAGCUUGCUCCUCUGACGUUAGCGGCGGACGGGUGAGUAACACGUGGAUAACCUACCUAUAAGACUGGGAUAACUUCGGGAAACCGGAGCUAAUACCGGAUAAUAUAUUGAACCGCAUGGUUCAAUAGUGAAAGACGGUUUUGCUGUCACUUAUAGAUGGAUCCGCGCCGCAUUAGCUAGUUGGUAAGGUAACGGCUUACCAAGGCAACGAUGCGUAGCCGACCUGAGAGGGUGGUCGGCCACACUGGAACUGAGACACAGUCCAGACUCCUAUGGGAGGCAGCAGUAGGGAAUCUUCCGCAAUGGGCGAAAGCCUGACGGAGCAACGCCGCGUGAGUGAUGAAGAUCUUCGGAUCGUAAAACUCUGUUAUUAGGGAAGAACAAAUGUGUAAGUAACUAUGCACGUCUUGACGGUACCUAAUCAGAAAGCCACGGCUAACUACGUG
rnacentral:rRNA from 1 species